rnacentral:rRNA from 1 species
ACAAGCGGAGGAGCAUGUGGUUAAUUCGAUGAUACGCGAGGAACCGUUACCUGGGCUCGAACGUAAGAUGACUGUAGGUGAAAGCUUACAUCUCUUCGGAGCAUUUUACGAGGUGCUGCAUGGUUGUCGUCAGCUCGUGCCGUGAGGUGUCGGGUUAAGUCCCAUAACGAGCGCAACCCCUACCUUUAGUUGCCAUCAGGUUAAGCUGGGGACUCUAAAGGAACUGCCUACGCAAGUAGUGAGGAAGGCGGGGAUGACGUCAAAUCAGCACGGCCCUUACGUCCAGGGCUACACACGUGCUACAAUGGCCGAUACAGAGGGCAGCUACCUGGUGACAGGAUGCAAAUCUCCAAAGUCGGUCUCAGUUCGGAUCGGAGUCUGCAACCCGACUCCGUGAAGUUGGAUUCGCUAGUAAUCGCGCAUCAGCCAUGGCGCGGUGAAUACGUUCCCGGGCCUU